GCGCCUAUAGCUCAAUGGAUAGAGCAAUAGUCUUCGGAACUAUGUGUUGUCCGUUCGAGUCGGACUAGGCGCA
rnacentral:tRNA from 1 species